rnacentral:rRNA from 1 species
GGAUUGCCUUAGUAACGGCGAGUGAAGCGGCAACAGCUCAAAUUUGAAAGCUGGCUCCUUUGGAGUCCGCGUUGUAAUUUGUAGAGGAUGAUUCGGCAAGGGCUCCCGCCUAAGUCUCCUGGAACGGAGCGUCAUAGAGGGUGAGAAUCCCGUAUGCGGUGGGCUGCCUAAGCCAUGUGAAUCUCCUUCGACGAGUCGAGUUGUUUGGGAAUGCAGCUCUAAAUGGGAGGUAAAUUUCUUCUAAAGCUAAAUACCGGCCAGAGACCGAUAGCGCACAAGUAGAGUGAUCGAAAGAUGAAAAGCACUUUGGAAAGAGAGUUAAAAAGUACGUGAAAUUGUUGAAAGGGAAGCGCUUGCAGCCAGACUUGUCCGCAGUUGCUCAGCCGGUCUCCUGACCGGUGUACUCUUCUGCGGCCAGGCCAGCAUCAGUUCGGGCGGUCGGAUAAAGACCUCGGGAAUGUAGCUCCUCUCGGGGAGUGUUAUAGCCCGGGGUGGAAUGCGGCCAGCCUGGACUGAGGAUCUCGCUUCGGCUAGGAUGCUGGCGUAAUGGCUGUAAGCGGCCCGUCUUGAAACACGGACCAAGGAGUCUAACAUCUAUGCGAGUGUUUGGGUGUCAAACCCAUGCGCGUAAUGAAAGUGAACGGAGGUGGGAACCCUCACGGGUGCACCAUCGACCGAUCCUGAUGUCUUCGGAUGGAUUUGAGUAAGAGCAUAGCUGUUGGGACCCGAAAGAUGGUGAACUAUGCCUGAAUAGGGUGAAGCCAGAGGAAACUCUGGUGGAGGCUCGCAGCGGUUCUGACGUGCAAAUCGAUCGUCAAAUUUGGGUAUAGGGGCGAAAGACUAAUCGAACCAUCUAGUAGCUGGUUCCUGC